CUGCUGCAAAGGGCUGGGGGGCUUUUGAGAUAGGGAGGGGGGUCUGACCCUGGUGCCCUGAGCCUCUCGCAGCUUUGUCUGACCAGUGAUGGAGCAGGAGGUUUGCGUGCUGGGCAGCUGCCCAGCACAGGGAGCACCGUGGGACCCCACAUCGCCCACCUGGGGCUUCCAGGUUUCCAUGGAGAACUCCGGAAUCAAAACUUGUCCUGCGCCAACUCAUUUUCUGGUGUACCUGUGUGAGUGCAGGUACCUGCAGGAAAGAUAAAUAUCUCGGGGAUUCCAAAAUACUCAGCAACACUGCUUUAAAACUGCUUUGAAUUUGUGCAGGGGGGAAGAAAAAAAAAAAGUAAUGUAAGGAAUUUAACUGUGUUCAAUAUGGGAAUU
rnacentral:lncRNA from 1 species